rnacentral:rRNA from 1 species
CCCGAGUGCUUGCACUCAAUUGGAAAGAGGAGUGGCGGACGGGUGAGUAACACGUGGGUAACCUACCCAUCAGAGGGGGAUAACACUUGGAAACAGGUGCUAAUACCGCAUAACAGUUUAUGCCGCAUGGCAUAAGAGUGAAAGGCGCUUUCGGGUGUCGCUGAUGGAUGGACCCGCGGUGCAUUAGCUAGUUGGUGAGGUAACGGCUCACCAAGGCCACGAUGCAUAGCCGACCUGAGAGGGUGAUCGGCCACACUGGGACUGAGACACGGCCCAGACUCCUACGGGAGGCAGCAGUAGGGAAUCUUCGGCAAUGGACGAAAGUCUGACCGAGCAACGCCGCGUGAGUGAAGAAGGUUUUCGGAUCGUAAAACUCUGUUGUUAGAGAAGAACAAGGACGUUAGUAACUGAACGUCCCCUGACGGUAUCUAACCAGAAAGCCACGGCUAACUACGUGCCAGCAGCCGCGGUAAUACGUAGGUGGCAAGCGUUGUCCGGAUUUAUUGGGCGUAAAGCGAGCGCAGGCGGUUUCUUAAGUCUGAUGUGAAAGCCCCCGGCUCAACCGGGGAGGGUCAUUGGAAACUGGGAGACUUGAGGCAGAAG